UGGGCGUCGAGCGGCGGACGGGUGAGUAAUGCCUAGGAAAUUGCCUUGAUGUGGGGGAUAACCAUUGGAAACGAUGGCUAAUACCGCAUAAUGCCUACGGGCCAAAGAGGGGGAUCUUCGGACCUCUCGCGUCAAGAUAUGCCUAGGUGGGAUUAGCUAGUUGGUGAGGUAAUGGCUCACCAAGGCGACGAUCCCUAGCUGGUCUGAGAGGAUGAUCAGCCACACUGGAACUGAGACACGGUCCAGACUCCUACGGGAGGCAGCAGUGGGGAAUAUUGCACAAUGGGCGAAAGCCUGAUGCAGCCAUGCCGCGUGUAUGAAGAAGGCCUUCGGGUUGUAAAGUACUUUCAGUUGUGAGGAAGGGGGUAACGUUAAUAGCGUUAUCUCUUGACGUUAGCAACAGAAGAAGCACCGGCUAACUCCGUGCCAGCAGCCGCGGUAAUACGGAGGGUGCGAGCGUUAAUCGGAAUUACUGGGCGUAAAGCGCAUGCAGGUGGUUCAUUAAGUCAGAUGUGAAAGCC
rnacentral:rRNA from 1 species